rnacentral:rRNA from 1 species
CUCCUUCGGGGGGCACAUCAGCGGCAGACGGGUGAGUAACACGUAGGUAACCUACCCCAGAGACAGGGAUAACCCUAGGAAACGAGGGCUAAUACCGGAUGACCUCCGGAAGGAGGAAAGGCUCAGGCGCUCUGGGAGGGGCUUGCGGCCCAUCAGCUAGUUGGUAGGGUAAAGGCCUACCAAGGCGAAGACGGGUAGGGGGUGUGAGAGCACGGUCCCCCACAAUGGGACUGAAACACGGCCCAUACUCCUACGGGAGGCAGCAGCAGGGAAUAUUGCACAAUAGGCGAAAGCCUGAUGCAGCGACGCCGCGUGAGUGAAGAAGGCCUUCGGGUCGUAAAGCUCUUUUGUAGGGGAAGAGGAAGGACGGUACCCUAAGAAGAAGCGUCGGCUAACUACGUGCCAGCAGCCGCGGUAAAGACGUGGGACGCGAGCGUUAUCCGGAAUUACUGGGCGUAAAGGGCCAGCAGGCGGCUUGGUAAGUUGUGCGUGAAAGCCUCGUGCUCAACGCGAGGAAGCCGGACAAUACUGUCAAGCUAGAGGGCAUCAGAGGGGAGUGGAAUUCCCGGAAGUAGCGGUAAAAUGCGCAGAUAUCGGGAGGAACACCGAUGGCGAAGGCAGCUCCCUGGGAUGCACCUGACGCUAAGAGGCGAAAGCUAGGGGAGC